UCGAAUCAGAGUGCACUAUUUCUUGUUUCGGAGAAUCGAGUUCCUAAUCUUUUAACGGUUUUUCACGAAAUUUUCAUUUCUCGUAAAGUUGCUGCGUAAUAGACGCUUGGUAAUUUUGAUUCGAUUAUAAUUGCUCGGUAUUCGUAAUACCGGGCUGUGAUUUUAUGGCGAAGACGACCUUGUCGCCGUGAGAGCCCAGAGCCUGUUGCACUUCGAUGGCAUACUAUACGUAUCGGUGCAACUAAUUUAACUGGCACGUGCAAUACUGCUGAGAACGAUUCCGUAGCUACUCAAACCGGAUUUCUGUUCACUACAUUCGAGCAGAAUUGAUAAAAGUUUUUACUACCUACAAUAAAGUCUCCUCGUCCGGCUGGUCACCAACCACACGUAUAAAGUGAAGAAUUUCGAGCACUAUUUUUCGUGGGAGUAUCGAAGGAGCAUUGUAUCGACCUCUCAUCGUACUACAUCUUCUACAUUCAACCUACUACACAGCUAUAGUCAUCAGGGAGGCAGAGACAUCCGGGUAAAAUCCAAGACCCCUGAGCUUGGGAACCAGCUCGGGUCCGGUUUUGGUACCGGCAGCGGUGGGGUAAGUCCCAGCAGUCAGAUUUCCUCGAUUUCUUUGCCAGCUCACACGAUGGUGAACGCUGGCAUCGGGAUCGUUGUAUUUUAUAGAAUAAGUAUGUUCCCCCAAUUCGCGUGGCGUGGCGGUACUUUUAGAUUUUAAAAUCAUUUUAUUAGCUCAGGUAAUCGUAGGUUCGGUUGUCGUUGAGCAUAGCGCACUUGCAGUUUGUAGAGUCACAGAUAUAGAAUUUUUUUGGAAAAUUAUUCAGUUAGUUGAUCUAUUGGUUAGUCAGUUGACAAAUAGUUCAUACACUAUGAACUAUUCAAAUAAAUCAUCAUCCACCAACCUUAUGUAAGCAAGAGUGCGCGGCUCAUAGGCAACGGUAAAGACCAUCGUUUGAUUGACCAACGCGUUUUCUUGCAUUUUAUAAUAAUUUUUAGUGAUUGAUCUCGUUUUCGUCGAUCACUAACUAGUAAAAAAAAUUAGGCCGUUCGAAUGGUGGUCCUUUACCAUAGUUUCACUUUCUCGACGAGAAUCAGGUAUGAUCAGCAGCUCCGAGCGAUUAGAAAAUACGUAAUUGAUUUUUUGGAGAUAAAAAAAUUUGUCGAUUCAGUUAUUCUCAAUUCUCAUUCAUUCAAAGUAAUUAACUCCAACUGAUUGAUAUGGAAACAUAUUUUUCAACAUCUUCUUUCCUCCCUGAUUCUCUUGUUAACUUUAAGUAUCCGAUUAAGCUUCAAGAAACUACCGCGGACAUUGGAUUUAGUAUAGAAAUAAUUAAGAUAUAGAUUAAGUGUGAAAAUAAUUAAGAUAUAAAUUAAGUGUGGAAAUAAAUAAGAUUUAAAUUAAGUUUGAAAAUAAUUAAGGUAUUUAUAAUAAGGUAUAAGAAUAUUCUUGGGCAACGUUUCAUCUUCUGAAGUGGAAUCCUGAUCGAAGAAAAAUAUUAUUUCACUACCUAUAUUAUUUUUUGUUAGCAUUAAGAAAAAAAAAAAAAGAAUUAGUCAUAAGAAACCUUACCCCAAACACACACAUUUUUAAGCCCUUAAUUAAUAUGAAUUAAAUUCAUUCUUUUGCUUAUACCAUUUUCCAAUACGAUUUCAAAUGAAAUUAUCGAAACAUUGUUGUAUUUCAAUUCAUGAGAAUCACGUUAUUCAAAUCAUUUCACGAUUCUGGAAGUUUAAUGAAUUUCGGCCGAUAAAACCACACACAUUUAAAAAUUUAUAAACUACGGCUUUGGCCGGGGCAAUGGAAGCCUAUAUUAUGCACACAAAACACAUAUAUUUAUAAGUAAUAUAAAAAAUAACAAUAAAUAAUUAGGAAUUAAGUUAUUAUUAGUUUCAAUUGUUAAGUCUGCGCUUAUUACCUAUAAAGUAAGUAAAUUUAGAUUAACGAGAUCUAGGAUGUCUAAUCAUGCAUAAAUUUUUCUUCCCUCACACAAAUCUAUCAGCCCUUUACUUUCUUUGCUCACUGUCAGUAUACAAAUAGAUAUGAGAUUGAUUAAAUUCAUUGUUCAAAGAUUCUAAUGACAUUCUAUCAAAGUACUACAAAAUUUGAAUGAACUAAAAUCAAGUUACUAAAAUCAUUCAAAGAUUCUCAAUGUUGAUUAUAAAUUUCGGUUCAGAAAAACACACACCUUUUCAAAAUUUACUAAAUUCUUUGGCUUUGGCCAGGGCAUGGGCAGCCCGCACUAUUUUUUCCACACAACAGGUAUGGUGAGUUUUUGAACGAGAGACCACGGCAAUGAAUGUGAUAUGUGAGUGAGAUUGGUUUGAAUGAGAUGUAUAAACACAUGGGAAUUUUUUUCCCUUACACACACAGCCCUUAAGCUUUUCUUGUUAAAAAUAUACAAAUUUGAAUUAUUUCGGCCUAAAAAACACACACCUCUUCAAAAUUACGGCUUCGGCCGAGGCAUGGGCAGCCUGAACACAAUUACACUUUGAAAAGACUUUUUUUUUAAAUUUUUUUCAUAGAGUCAGUUGUCAAAAGUUUGACAAAGCGAAUGUGAAUGAAAUGGUUCGAAGCGCCGGCGCUGGUGUGAUUCGGGGAUUUCGUCAGUAAAAUCAUUUCUUGGAUAAAUAUAAGUGAAAGGCAGGUAUAGGUAAAUUCAUGCAUCGCGAAGGGGUUCUAUUUGGAAUGUAUGUGCAGUGUGAAUGCGAGUAUGCAACUCAUAGUUUUAACCGUUGGGCCGGGUGUGGGCUUAACAAAGUGGGUAGGCAAGAAAUCGGAAGUGCAACUUUUCUUUCCACAGCAAUUCCAAGUGAUCAAUUAACUAGAGUUUAUUGAAUUGCGUUGGCUAAUUUUUUGCAAUAUUUUGCUUGAUAUUUUUAUAAUAAUUCUUUUCGUGUGGUCUUUUAGAUCUCUUUGCUGAGAUCUACUAGAUGCUUUUACUUCCAAUGGUUCACAAACCCAACCAAACAAAUUCAAUUAGAUUAAGUUUUUUUCUUCCCUGUAAUAUUUCUGGUCACUUGGAAUGGGCAAAAUGCGUCCACUUUGCUCUCCGUACCAGCCGUGGUGCAUGGAAGUGAGGUGGACGUUGAGCUCGAAGACGUCGCGUCGAAGAGGACCACCGACCGCCACGCCACAAAUUUUCAAACCUUCCCUAUUUCCACUCCCCAAUGUUAAUUGGAAUAGAAGGAUGCGAUUAAAAAUUGCAUUUCUUCGAUUUCCAUUAGUAUAAUUAUUCCAAGUCUGACGCUGCUCGCGCGGGUACAUAGCGCGCGGACGAGGAAUCGCAUGUUAUUUGUUUAUAUAUGUUAUUUCUUGUAUGCCCGAUUGGGCCAUUCUUAAAACAAUAACUAGCGUGACUUGCCAUCUUGCAAGGCGCUUUGAAAACUUUGAGAGAUUUUUUUUCAGGAAUUUGAAGUAAAAUAAAAACCCAAGUUUCGUCGCUGCUGCUCGUACGCACGCGGACUUGGCGCUUAAAAAAUGCAUUGCAACGCUUUAUGCGUUAUAAACCCAAAAACCAAAAAAUUGUAAGGAAUCAAGUACUAUUGCACCUUUUUGUGCGUGCCCAAGCUCAGCUGGAAUCAGGUAGCAACGGGCGCGCGGUAUGUUGUGGGGCGUGACCUCUGCUCAGCUUCGAAGGUGAGGUCUCACAACAAAACGCUAGCUGCUGGCUACCUGACUCCAGUUUGGCUCCCUUGAAGACCGAGAAAUUCGAAUAUUCCGACCCAUGCAUGGGUUGCGACGAACCAAAGUGGAUCUACGACUAAAACCAAUCGAUGUCUUACAAUUAUUCUGCUCCGAACAGCGAAUAACUGAUGAUUACUUGAUCGAUUGCAUGAGUAGAUGAUUUUGGCUCUCAGAUUUGGGAUUCUGAGCUAAUUAUAUGUGAGAUUAAGCUCAAAAAACCGAGAAAAAAUUCGAUUUUCGACUUUUCUCGGACAAAGGGCGAGGCUUCUUGGGGACUUUUUAUGUUUGAAUUUUACCGCUGUUGGUCGCGUCUGCGCACUCACCGAUACAGCUAGCGCUAAGUGGUGGAAUUUUCAGGAACUACAAAAACUAGUGCUAUCUGAUGGACUUUUCGAGAACUGAUUUCAGCGCAAGUCCACAUAGGGUAAAUUACCUACGAACAAUUCCUCGUCAUCGGUCGGCACAUGAAUAUCAGUCGGUAAAAUCAGCAUAGGGUAUAUUACCUACGAACAAUUGAUCGUCAUCGGUCGGUGAUCCAGAACCGAUGGGACGUCAUCCUGGAUCAAUAUCUUUCUGAUUUUUUGCGAUUUUUCCCAAUUUUCCCUGAUUUUUUCAAAUAUGUUUGAAUUUCACCGCUGCUGGUCACGUGGCUGCACUCGCCAAUACAGCUAGUGCCAAGUGGCGGACUUUUCGUGAACUACUAAAACGAGUUGCGGCCAGUGCCAUCUUUCGGAUUUUUCGUGAGAUUCAAAAGUGGCGGCCAUUUGGGAAUAGCGGGGGUCAGAAAAACCCGAUUCGGAGCGUAGGGGGUCGUUUUUAGGAGCGAAAAAGCGGUUUUUUAGGUCGAAAGAUUUGUUUUUGAGCGUGAGAGGUCAAAUACAACGCUGAGAAAGUCUUGUCGAAGCGUGAGGGGGUGGUUUUCUGACGUGGGCAGUAAUACCAGAGCGGUGUGGGUCGCAAAAUCCCGAUUCAGAGCGAAGAGCGUCGUUUUUAAAAGCGAACAAGCGGUUUUUCAGGUCGAAAAAUUCGUUUUUGAGCGAAAAAGGUCGAUUUGGAGGGUGAAAAAGUCGUUUUUUAAAGUAGAGAGGUGGUUUUCGAACGCGCGCAGUGAUUCUGAACAGGCAGGGGUCGGAAAAUUUUGAUACAAAGCAAGAGGAAGCGUUUUUCGAGCCGGAAAAGUCGUUUUUCGGGUCGAAAAAU